rnacentral:piRNA from 1 species
UAAAAAAAAAAUGGUGCUAACUCCCAUGC